rnacentral:tRNA from 1 species
GAGUGUGUAGCUUAAUUGGAUAAAGCAUUAAACUUUUAAUUUAUUGAUUUUAGGUUCAAGUCCUAGCACACUUA